rnacentral:rRNA from 1 species
GAGCACUGUUUCGGCAAGGGGGUCAUCCCGACUUACCAACCCGAUGCAAACUGCGAAUACCGGAGAAUGUUAUCACGGGAGACACACGGCGGGUGCUAACGUCCGUCGUGAAGAGGGAAACAACCCAGACCGCCAGCUAAGGUCCCAAAGUCAUGGUUAAGUGGGAAACGAUGUGGGAAGGCCCAGACAGCCAGGAUGUUGGCUUAGAAGCAGCCAUCAUUUAAAGAAAGCGUAAUAGCUCACUGGUCGAGUCGGCCUGCGCGGAAGAUGUAACGGGGCUAAACCAUGCACCGAAGCUGCGGCAGCGACGCUGAUGCGUUGUUGGGUAGGGGAGCGUUCUGUAAGCCUGUGAAGGUGUGCUGUGAGGCAUGCUGGAGGUAUCAGAAGUGCGAAUGCUGACAUAAGUAACGAUAAAGCGGGUGAAAAGCCCGCUCGCCGGAAGACCAAGGGUUCCUGUCCAACGUUAAUCGGGGCAGGGUGAGUCGACCCCUAAGGCGAGGCCGAAAGGCGUAGUCGAUGGGAAACAGGUUAAUAUUCCUGUACUUGGUGUUACUGCGAAGGGGGGACGGAGAAGGCUAUGUUGGCCGGGCGACGGUUGUCCCGGUUUAAGCGUGUAGGCUGGUUUUCCAGGCAAAUCCGGAAAACUAAGGCUGAGGCGUGAUGACGAGGCACUACGGUGCUGAAGCAACAAAUGCCCUGCUUCCAGGAAAAGCCUCUAAGCAUCAGGUAACAUCAAAUCGUACCCCAAACCGACACAGGUGGUCAGGUAGAGAAUACCAAGGCGCUUGAGAGAACUCGGGUGAAGGAACUAGGCAAAAUGGUGCCGUAACUUCGGGAGAAGGCACGCUGAUAUGUAGGUGAAGUCCCUCGCGGAUGGAGCUGAAAUCAGUCGAAGAUACCAGCUGGCUGCAACUGUUUAUUAAAAACACAGCACUGUGCAAACACGAAAGUGGACGUAUACGGUGUGACGCCUGCCCGGUGCCGGAAGGUUAAUUGAUGGGGUCAGCGCAAGCGAAGCUCUUGAUCGAAGCCCCGGUAAACGGCGGCCGUAACUAUAACGGUCCUAAGGUAGCGAAAUUCCUUGUCGGGUAAGUUCCGACCUGCACGAAUGGCGUAAUGAUGGCCAGGCUGUCUCCACCCGAGACUCAGUGAAAUUGAACUCGCUGUGAAGAUGCAGUGUACCCGCGGCAAGACGGAAAGACCCCGUGAACCUUUACUAUAGCUUGACACUGAACAUUGAGCCUUGAUGUGUAGGAUAGGUGGGAGGCUUUGAAGUGUGGACGCCAGUCUGCAUGGAGCCGACCUUGAAAUACCACCCUUUAAUGUUUGAUGUUCUAACGUUGACCCGUAAUCCGGGUUGCGGACAGUGUCUGGUGGGUAGUUUGACUGGGGCGGUCUCCUCCUAAAGAGUAACGGAG